AGGGGAGAAGAGGCUCAGGCAUGGCGGGCUGCAGGUCCGGAGCCCUGCCCCGCGGGGAGGCACCUAAGGCCCCGCGAGAAAUCGAGCGCAGCGCCGGUAGGCUGGCACUGCUGGGGGACCCAGCGCACCCUCCUCAGCUGCUGGCCCGGUUGCUAAACCCUGCUGGUCCGGGUGCUAAGCUCCUCAUUGCCCAGGGAGGCGGGGCCCGCCAAACCCACGCCAACCCGGAACUCUAGCUGGCCCGCAAGGGCUACGCGCAGCCCCGGUUCCUGCCCGUGCCUCUCCCUCCGCACUUCCCCUCAGGCUGAGGGAGCUGGCUCCUGCCUCGGCCAUCCCAGGAAGAGGCUCCCACAGUGCAGCGACGGGCUGAAGGGCUCCUCAGGCGCGGCCAGAGUGGGCGCCCAGGCCGAGGAGGCGCCAAGAGCGAGCGAGGGCUGCGACGACUGCCAGCAUGCUGUCACCUCUCACUAUGACUGUCUGGGAUCUGCUUUAUAAAUAAACAAGCUUCCUACAAUUAUCCUCAUCUCAUGGAAAAACUAGACAGAGGAAAAGAAAAGAGGCAAAUGGAGCUUCCUUUGCUAAGAGCUCAAAUAACUCUCCUCUACAUAGUCUUCUUCAAACAAAAACACAAAGCUAAUUUUCCAUUUACUCUUUGAGAGUUCCACAGAAAAACAAGUGAGUAAUAUAUCAUGUUUCUCUUUCUGAAAGCUUUAUAUCUGGAGUUAGAUAAGCCAUUGUUACUUGAUCAAAUAGGUGGAUAUAGCCAUGGAGAUAAGCUAAUAUUUGCAUCGGCAUGACAACCACUGACUAGUCUAAGCGUAAUAGAAGUCUUAUUAAUUAUAAUGGAAAAGUCACAACCACCAAGUAAUUCAUAGGUCUUUCACUGAGAUGGUCACCUUGAUUUAUAUCUUAACUAGAGUUCCUUAAAAAUACUAUGAAGAUGUUAUAGUUUCCUAUAUGGACAAGAACAAUUGUACAUUUUACUAGUCUUGAGAUAUCAAUUUAAUCUACUCCACUGAGGAGCAUCUUCUGAAAAUGUUACCAUUUUAACAUCUAUUAUUUUAGUAUGACAUAAGAAUGAAUAAAGAGUAAAAGAAAGUUGGUCCCUUUCUGAGUUCUGCAUUAAACCCAAAUCCUGAAAUGAAAUAAUGCAUAUUUUACUCAAUUUGGGUUUAUAGACUGUCUCUGUAAUGAACAUGCAUUAUGAAAUCUGUUUUUCAGCUCCUUCCUUUUGGUCAAGGGGUGGGGGACAAUGUUAAAGAAACAAAGCAAAAGCUUGGGCUUUUGAAGUUUUAAAGCAUUUACUUCCAAAAAUUGAGUCAAUGUAACUAGCAUUUUUCUUAGUAUUUAUUGUGU
rnacentral:lncRNA from 10 species